rnacentral:tmRNA from 1 species
GGGGCUGAAAGGUAUCGACGGGUUGUAGAGUGAAGGUGUAAGCAUGUCGAGAUAUGGUAGCUAUGCUCGUUAAUCUGCGCUACCAAAACAUAACAGGCGAAAAUAACUUCGCUUUGGCUGCCUAAUCAGGAGAUUACGCAUUAGCCAACCGAUUCGAACAGGUGCUGUCUGAUAGCUUGUUCACUAGAGUCGGCCGACAUAUUGGGCAUUCUUUAACCACUGCCUCGGGUUAAAGUCUUAUUAGGGGCAUAAGGAUUCAGUUUGGCGAGCAACGGGCCAGCUGAGUCCCGACAACAACCGAUGCUAAACAUGUAGAAAGCGCCAUUUAGUCCUUCUCCGGACCCGGGUUCAAAUCCCGGCAGUUCCACAA